rnacentral:lncRNA from 1 species
AACAAAAAAAACAAAACGGAAGGAGAAGAAGGAGGGCGGCUAGGAGAAAGAGAGGACGGGGCAUCGUGGCUUAGAUCUGUAAAGGGGCACCGGUGUCGUGGUGUGGGAGGUGUGAGGCUCGACAGGCAGCGGAAGAGGUAUGUAGAGUUAUAUAUUCUCAAUAUCAUGUAUAUAUAAGGUUGAUGGGGGGUAAGAACGAUUCUAAUCAGUUAAGGAUGGAAAUCUUAGAUCUUCCGAUGAAUGUGACGAGAUGAUGACAGGUAUGAUCUGGAAAGAAGAAGAUUAAAGGGACGAUAGAGUGAAAUAGCUGUUAAGAAAAUAUGGGGAAGGGAAACGGAUGUGUUUAAUUUUGCUAAAGUUUAAUAAUAUUUUUAAUCUUUAAUCAUGAUUAUGUUAUCAUGAUGUAAGGUGACCAACGGAUCUGAUCUGGAAUAACCAGAUUUAUUCCUACCCAGAUCUCAUUACUAAUAUAUGUAAAAUAAGUUACUGUCAUGAUAUGUUAACUAUAUUGUUAAUAUGUUAAUAAGAAACAUUAAAAGAAAUAUGUUAAAAUAGCUACUGCUAUAUGACUUCUACUAGAGUGAUGCUAUUAGUUUAAAAGAUAUAAGUUGUAUAAUUGCUAUGAUGCUAAUCAGAUUUAGUGCUAUAAGUUUUACAUCCAAACUUGGUGAUUGUCAUGCAAGUAUGAUUAUGGAAUACCAUAUAUUAUUUUACGAAUGUUUAAUCCGUGGUCUGUUUCAACUUUAUAUUUCUUUUGCUGUUUCAGAUGUUAAAAAAUACUAUCAGGGUGCAUAUCAUGUAAAAUUAUAGAAUGUCUAUUAAGUGUCAUGGUUCGAUUGGGUUUUUGUGCUAAUUUGAAAUGAAGAAACACGGUAUUAGAUCGAGGUUUCGUGUGAUAUUUUUGAUGACAUGUGGAGGUGAGAAUAGAAUCUGAACAGGGUAGCUUAAUAAUAAAUUAUGUUUGAGUUGAAAUAAUUAGUAAUUGAUUUCAUGUAUGAUGACCAGAAUUGCUAAUUGAUUUAAUUAUUACUGAUUUAAACUUGAGAAAAUGAUUAGGGGAGUGAUUGCAUGAAUGAACAUGGAAACAAGGGUAGAAAUGCACGUGGAAAUGAGUUAAAGAAUGGAUGAAUGAACGAACGAAUGAAUAAAUGAACGUGAACGAAUGCAUGAGUGAAACAUGAAGGUUGUUUUGAUGUCUAAUCGACGGUGAAUAAUGAAUGACAAAUGACGACCCAUCUGGGUCUUAUGAAUGAUGAUUGAUUGAUGAAUUAGAUUAAAUGUUUACUUAUUUCUUGCUUAUUAUGUGCAUCCUUUACUAAUGAUAGUGUGAAAUAACUUGAUAUCUGAGACAAGAUAGUAUGGAUGCUUUACAUACUGAGUAAUGAAAUCGCUCACGGAUACAUACUAUGUUGCAGGGAAUGGAGACAGUCUUGCCUAGCUGGAAUGGUAGAAAGCAAAGGACUCGUCGAGGCGACGAGACUCACUUGCAUAGAACAUAACUCUUAUAGUCAUUGUUGUCUAUUUUUGGUUGUAAUAAUUAAUACGAACUUAGAAUUCUUAAAAACUGAACAUGUUGAAAUUUUGUUAUAUUCAAAUUCUGUUAGGGAAAACAUGGUAUCAUAAGUUAUGUUAGUGUAUUAAAACUCUGUGUGGGAAGCAGAGUUUUACACAAAAUGUUGGAUUGUAAUUUCUAAAUAUAAAUCAUUUGGAAGGGGAUUUUGGCUUUUUGCUUCUAGAAAAAAUACAUGA